rnacentral:rRNA from 1 species
UACGUAGGGUGCAAGCGUUAAUCGGAAUUACUGGGCGUAAAGCGUGCGCAGGCGGCGCGUUUAAGACAGGUGUGAAAGCCCCGAGCUUAACUUGGGAAUUGCGCUUGUGACUGGCGUGCUGGAGUGUGGCAGAGGGAGGUGGAAUUCCACGUGUAGCAGUGAAAUGCGUAGAGAUGUGGAGGAACACCGAUGGCGAAGGCAGCCUCCUGGGCCAGCACUGACGCUCAUGCACGAAAGCGUGGGGAGCAAACAGG